UACGGGGGGGGCAAGCGUUGUUCGGAAUUACUGGGCGUAAAGGGCGCGUAGGCGGUUCGCUAAGUUGGAUGUGAAAACUCUGGGCUCAACCCAGAGCCUGCAUCCAAAACUGGCGGGCUAGAGUUCUGGAGGGGGUAGCGGAAUUCCUGGUGUAGCGGUGAAAUGCGUAGAUAUCAGGAGGAACACCGGUGGUGUAGACGGCUUUCUGGACCGUAACUGACGCUGAGACACGAAAGCGUGGGUAGCAAACAGG
rnacentral:rRNA from 1 species